GGCAAGAUGGCCGAGCGGUUAAGGCGGAAGACUCAAGUGCAUUCUUGCCCGUGCAACGGGUCGUAUUCUUCUGGGGCAACCCGCGUGGGUUCGAAUCCCACUCUUGUCA